UACGUAGGGUGCAAGCGUUACUCGGAAUUACUGGGCGUAAAGCGUGCGCAGGCGGUUCGGAAAGAAAGAUGUGAAAUCCCAGGGCUUAACCUUGGAACUGCAUUUUUAACUACCGGGCUAGAGUGUGUCAGAGGGGGGUGGAAUUCCACGUGUAGCAGUGAAAUGCGUAGAUAUGUGGAGGAACACCGAUGGCGAAGGCAGCCCCCUGGGAUAACACUGACGCUCAUGCACGAAAGCGUGGGGAGCAAACAGG
rnacentral:rRNA from 1 species